rnacentral:misc_RNA from 1 species
UAUAGCACUAGUAUUCCUCGGUGCGUGUGCUGCUGCGUCGAGUGUUUUUGCCAUCGCUCCGUGACACACGUUCAUCCUUCUCGGGGGAUCUGGUCCAGUCUCAGUCUUAGUGAUCGUAGCUCUAGUUCUAGUCGUAGCAGUAGUAUAAGUACGGUACAGCAGCAGUCGCCGUCAGUUCCUUCUUAGAUAAUUAUUGAAUUAUUAGUCGAAUAAGUCGAUCGAUUGGUAAAUCGCUCGCUCGGGUCGUACGAUGUCAUCGUCGUUGCUCCGUCCUGGCCGUCGUUGCUGCUCUCGUCGCCUCUAUCGUCGCUGCCACUACUUUGCACCGAGCGACCGCUGCAGGGCCCACCUGGUCAGCGCAGUCGUCUUCGUCGUCGGCUAAUUAUCCAGCAGCUGCACCGCAUCGAGCACAUGGAAUAUGAGAUCAGAAUGCGAGGAGACGGAAGCAGAAGCAACAGCGCCAGUAGCAGCAGCAGCAACAGUAGCAGCAGCGGCGAGGGCUCGGCCUGCAGCCUCAUGAGUGCCGGUAAUUGGCUCGAGACGCUCUACGGGCAGCACAUGGCCGCGGCGGCGGCCUAUCAGUUUCCGGGCAGUGCGGCUCUGCUCUUGGGCCAGCUGCGAUCGGCGGCGAGCACGAUCGGCAGCGGUGGCGGCGCGCCCGAGCCCAUGGCCUGGAAGUCCGAGCCGCCGGACGAGGACCUGGACGACGCCGAGGAGACGACUACGACGAGACCCGACAAAGAACAGCUGACGACGACGACGACGACGACGAUAAAGCAGGAACCGAGCGAAGUCAACGUCAAGCUGGAGAACGACGAGGACGAUGGGGCCGACGACGAGACGCCGAUCGACUCUGCCACUGCUGCUGUUGCUGCCGAUAGGACAGAGGACGACAACCCGGACGACGAGGCCAGCGCCGAAAGUUGGAAGGACAAAGGCGUGCCGAACGUCUUGAGCAGUUGGUUCCUCAACGCCUACACGACUAUGCUGGGCAGAUUGUCGUUCGUGGCGGCGGCGGCUUCCUUCGACGAUGCGCUCCUCAACUCGCGCUCGAACCUCACCUCGGACAGUCGCAGCGGCUCCGAAAGCGGCCACUCGUCCUACCUCGAUGCUUUGCACCGAUCGAGGGAGAGCAGCCCGAGCAACAGCAGCAGCGCCAAGCGAAAAACGAACGCGAAAUCGGGCAAAGUCGCCUCGCGGCGCCGAAAAAAAGCCACCGUCAAUGCGGACGGGAAAUUGCGAUCGCUCGAUGGAAAGAGUCCCGCUGCUUCUUUAUCCGAGGGCAAGAAACGAACUCUGGCACUGCAGCGAGUUCGAUACGAAAGAGAGGAGUACCGAUGCUACCUGUGCCCGUACGCGUGCACCAUCGAGAAGGCCUUCCAGCGACACCUGCGCGCCCACGCUCGAGGAACCGCCGACGCCGGUCAGAUGCCGCGGCUCAGCUGUGCCGUCUGCGGCGCCGACAGAUCGUCCGAGCUCGAUCUCAGCAAGCACAUGCGCCGCCACCGGGACAACCGCUACUUUUGCUGCGACAUAUGCAUAUUUCGCACCGUGCAGCUGAAAAAAUUGAUUCAGCACCGGCGCAUGCACACCGGCGAGAAGCCACAUCUGUGUCCACAUUGCGCCUACAGAAGCGCCCGCAGGGACAAUUUGCGCAGCCACGUCCGUCGGGUCCACAAGAAGGAGAAUCUUUUUUGCGACACUUUCAGCCCGCGUGGCAUGUUCAACAUUUCGAAGCUCGCGAGCCUCGCGGACGAGAGCAACGACGAAAACGACGACGACGACGAACGAGACGCGGACGAUAAUCCGAACAACGACGGCAACGAACUCGACGUUGCGGACGAGCGCGACAAUUACGUGGACGACGACAACAGCGACGGCAACAACGACCACGAAACCAACGAACGCAUCGACGGCGACAACGAGACCAGUGAACGAAUCGCUGGCGUCGACCCCGACACGACCAUGCAGCUGCAGGAAGAUCCGCCUGAAACUUCGACGGUAACUUAAGAUUGCAGUAUUGGUAUCUCGCACCCGCUUACCAAGGAUCCUGCUAUUGACCGCACGUCGAGCAUUAACAUCGCAGAUCCUUGACAAAUUUUUUUGUGAUCUCCGGUAAUAAAUAAUGAAUCCCCUUAUGCUUACUCAUAGUGCUUGAGCUUCAUUAGAAAAAUUAUUAUUCUUUUUUGGAACAAUCUUUGCAAUUUUUAACUUGAAAAGAAACGAAUUUAGGAAGGAAAUGUAAAGAACAAUACAAUUUUAAAAUUGAUAAAAAAUUUUGUUUCUUUUCGAAAUAAAAUGUCACAAACAAAUAAUACGGAGCUUCAUUAUUAAUUAUCACGAGAUUUCAAAAUAAUUUGGCUGAGGGUUUGUGACUCAGAGAUGGAAUUGUCUCCUUGUCAGUAUUAUUCGAAAGAAAUUUCACAGAUCAACGGAAAAUUUCAAUACCUGUGAAAGUGAAAGUAUAACUCACAGCAGUUGGGUUGUAAAUUAUUUGCUUACAUAGAUAAAUAAACCAAUACAAAUAUUGAGUUUUUUGAUAACUCACGCUACCUAUAAAAAUUCUACUUGAUGCGAAAAUUUAUUUGAAAAAACCUUUGUAAUUAAUUAAUUUUUAGGAGAGCUAAUGUCUUUUUUUUAUGUUUUUCCAUUUCAUCUUAACGUAAAAUUCAUCUGAAAAUGGCAAAUUUUUGAUGGAAUAUAAUACGAGUUAUUUUCAAGUUUCAAAUAUUACGGUUAACAUUUUGUUCUUAUUAAAAUCAAUUGACAACUCUCUUAACUAUUGACUAAUACUACUACAAACAGUAUCCAUACAUUAAACCAAUAUUUUUCUGUCAAUAUACCAGAACAUUAAGAUAUAAUCUGGACAAAUUACUAUUCUAUAUAUUUAUCUACAUCAAUAUUAUAUUGUUUCUUAUAAAUAAUUCAUACAUGAUAAUAAGUCCUAAAAAGUAUCAGUGGUACUGCGAUUUUAAUCGAACGAAAUACAUCGAUCAGUGUAAAAUAAAAAUAGUUUUAAGGUUUAAAUACAGUCACUACGAAUUAAUGUUCAUCAGUCUAAUGUUUAAUAAUGUGUGUAAUGUGUAAUACAAAAAAUUGUGGUACUUCAUAUUUUUUCAAUAAAUUUAUUUUCUCUUUUUGAAGGAGUACUAAUGCCAAGGUAAAAAUGAGUAUAGAAUAAAAAUUAAGUGUGUGACGUAUCUUUUUAAAAAUGUGAUGAAUAGAAAACUUGAAAAACACCUUUAAAGAUUGACAGAUUUACCUUGGCUUUGGUAUUCCUAUAAUAUUCUAAACCCGAGAAAAUAAUAAGGUAUAUGCAGAGUAAUAUAAUUCAAAGCAAAAUUAGCUUUGACUAAAGCUAAGCAUAAUAAUUCAAAUUUUUAUGAAUAAAUUUUAUAAUAAUUUUAUUUAAUGACAUAAUUUUGAUCCAAAUAAAAUUUAAUUUUUUCUUUGAAUAUAACAUACUAGAUCAGAUCUGUGAAUUGUUCAAAUUCAUUAUUUCAGAUUCGUUACAAAAAAGGAUGUAAACAUACCACCGUGUACAUUAAAUUUUAAACUUUACAAGACUAUAUAUGAAUGUGUGCAACAUAUGUUCACAACGAAAAUAUAUAAUAUUAAAUAUUAAUAUUACUAAACGUUAACAAAAACUUGCCUUUGAACACGUAUGAGUCGAUCAAUCGAUCUCUUACAUAAUAUUUAAGCAUAAUUAUAAAUAUAUAAUGUAACACAAAUUAUAUAUGGAUAUAAUUAUUUAUUAAAUACAUUUAAUAUUCUCAAGUUAUUAAAUUAAACGUGAGAGAUGAAUAUUUCAUUGAAAAGGAAACGCACUAGUUUUGUGUGAUCAAUUUUGCAUAUUUUAUCUGGAAUUUUUGGGUACUUGAAUAGUUCUGGUUUUGAAAAUAAUUUGUUAAUAUUCAAAUAUGUUACGAUGCAAUUCUAGACAAUACAUUUUUGUUUCAUACAGAACGUACCGAUCGUCACAAAAUUUGUCCAAUAUAUACAUAUAAUACAUGAAGUAUAACGAUACCAUUUUUAUGAAACAUGUUCAUACAAAUACAUGUAACGACUUAUACAAUCUGAAUGUGAUAAUAUUUACAAUUUAUAAGAUAUAACAUUCUAUUAUUAUAUUACUAUAUUAUAAAAGUUUCAUGUAUGUAUAUACGUAUACAUAUAAAAUAUAGAAUUAUUAAGAUGGUCGAAGUGGCCAAAUUUUACAAUACAAGUCUCGUUCAAAUUAUAUGUUUUCAACGAUUUUAAGUAUUUAGAGAUUUUAGAAAAUUGUAUUAUUUAUUGAAAAUCGAUAUAGUUGCACAAAAAUAUGAAUCCAUCAAAUUAAAUUCAAUAUUGCAUUUAAACUUUCAAUGUACUACUUUUGAAAUAAA